GCUCCCCGGUGCCCGGGGCGGGGGGGGGGCAUACUUUGGGCGAUUCUAAAGUCGCGUAAGUGAAACGGCGGGUCUUUACGCCGCCGUUGGCUUAGAGAGACACCGCCGUCCCACCCGGGAGCGGUAGGGAAGCGCCGCUGCCCGCUGCCCGCCGCCCCGGCCCCGCUCCCCGCCGCCUCGGCCCCGCUGCCCGCUCCGCGGCCGCCGCCGUGGUGUCGCUUGUGCAAGGGCGCCAUCUGGCGGGGGCGGCGGGCGGCGCUUCCCUGCCCUCCCCGCCGGGCGCCCCGGGAGCCGGCACCCCGCGGCCCCGGCCCCGCCGGCAGCAGCGCCGCCUCGCAGGGAGCGGUGCCCAGCAACCCGCGGGCAGAACGAAUAGGAAUGGCUCUAAAGGGAAAAAUGUGAUUGCGGGAGGGCGUUGACCACAAGAUACUGGUUUAUCACACCAGACCAUCGUCAGGGCAGACACCUUCUCCGAGGGUCAUGCGCGGGAAGCAGAGCUUUGUGUAGGUCCCAGGAGAUUCUGGGGGACGCCUGGUCUUCCCAGGAACAAAAUACAGGGGGGAUCAAGAAGAGAAAAGCAAGCAGAAGCCAGUUUCUGUGCCUAUUCCUUUGGCACUUUCCCUGCUGAGCUGGCUCUUACUCUGACUUUACGAGUCCCUUCUGGUCCCUGGAAGAAGCCAAUACAGUGUCGUCUGAAAAGAAAUGAACUCAAAGUUCAUGUUGACUAGAGAUAUAUUAAGUUGAUGGAGUCACGACUUUCAUAUGUGCAGAAGUAGUAAAACUAAGCAUAAUAUCAAGCUCUGAACUUUAGUUUUGUUCAUUAAAAACCUGGCAUGAGGCGUGUUUUAUUCAUUGUUUUGUCAACUACUUCACAUUUGCACCCUGUUUUUCUUGCAAAAACUAUCAAAAGAACUCAUGUGGGAAAGUAUUGCAGGAAAACAUUUGAUCUAUUUUAGUUUCAUUUAAUGAAAUUUAGCAUCCAGAGAACAAGUAGGAGAAACAGCAUCAAUAUGCCCAGACAAUUCUCCAAAGGCCUUUAGCAAUUGCUUUGUAAGAGGAUCAUUAGCUUCUUGCCUAUGAAAUUACCAGAAUUGAUCUCUUCGUAUUGACAUGGGUGCAAGUUCUGCUACUUGAAGGAAAUAUUCAAUUUUAAGCAGACAAAGUGUACGUACUUUGCUGGUAAUACAAACUUUUCCAUUUGUUCUAUAUUGGGAGCGAGUGCGUACACAAUAUGGAAAAUCUUAAACAGCAUACAGAGAGUAUUUUUUAAUAUUCUAAGAGUAAGGAAUGGGAAAUCAUAUUAGUUGUCAAAUGAUGACAGCUGUAAUAUUAACAUUAUUAACAAGGGGCCCGAGUAUUGUUUUACUAGCCAUGCAUCAGGCUAGAAAUGCUUUUUAACAUCAGAGACUCAAUAUUUAUCAAGAGCAUUUGAUUUAAUAAUAUCCAGUGUACCAAUAACAGUACUCCACAGUUUCCAUUAGUUUGAUUGAAUGUUAUAUCUGUCUAAGCAAACCAAGCAUUAGGCGCUUCAGGGAAAGUCACUUCUAAUAGAGAAAAAUAUAAUGCAUGAAUAUUUCAUUAGUAGAUGAAUAUCCAUCAAAACUUUACUUGAAAUGCUUGAAAGUACCUACUGAAUGUUUGCCAGUUAUUUCAUAAAACAGAGAUGGUUGUAACGCUGCUGUUGAAACAGGAAAAAAUCUAUUAGAUCAUUUAACGUACUAAAACAAUUAUGGUAUAAUUAUAAGGAUCGUAAUUAUAUGUUCUUGAUGCCUUUAAUUGUGCAAGCCUCACUAAUUAACAUUAGAAAUUCAAUCAAAACAAAUUAUGCUUUAAAAUUUAAGGCUGAACUUAAAGAGAAAGAUCACAUUUCCCAAGUCAAACAAUUAUAACUUUGAAUUCCACCUGACAGUAGGCAAACUCUUCAUAUGCAGGUUUGCAGUCUCUCUCUCUUUCCAUUUCCUAAGUUUUAUUCAGUGUAUUUUGGGGGGGGAGAGAGAGAUACACACUCAAGUGACUUACCCUUACUUAACGUUGUAAUGUCAGUUUUGCCAGAGCCAAAAUCUCAUAGAGAGUCUUGUGGCCUUUGGAUUAAACUUUAAAGGAAGAGAUUCAUCCUGUGCCCCCUGUACUUGGAUGUUUUCUGCACGGCCCUGCGCUGUGCAUAAACUUACGGUAGGAUUCGGGUCUCCAGCUCUGUCCUUUGGUUGUUGCUUGUUUCCCGCCGUUGCUUCUCACCUCUCAGGACUAUUGGAUUAUUUAUAGAACAAACAAAACACAGUUUUGGGGGGAAACAUUCCAUUCUUUUGUAAAGUUUAGACAUGCCAUGUCACAAAGACAAUUAAAGAAGAGCUGGUCAGAUACUUUCCUAUACAUAGUAUUGUUUUUGAAAACUUUUUUUUGUAGAACUGGAAUUAGCCUUCAAUCCUGUUGUCAUUUUCAGUCUUCCACUGAAAAGGAUUUCUCUGAGGAUCAAGCUGAUUCCAGUCAAAAUAUAUAGGAUUUGGGGGUUUUUUUGCAUCUAUUUAAUUACUGUUGUGCUGUGCAGGAAGUAUGGGUCAGUUGCUUGUAGCCCCUACAUCCCUGCGUGGAGGAGACUCCCAACCACUGGGACACGUUUCACAAGAUGCCCAGAGAAGUACAGCUCUGGGAGUGGCCCACCCAGUAGAAGUGACCAGGGCAGGAACAUUUGAAAACCUCUGAAAAAUAUAGAGUAAUAUUUAAUCCAAAAGAAACAAACAUAUCACUAUUGGAGUAUUAGAGUGUUGGGUUUUUUCAUAAAUAAAAAUUUCAAGGUAUCAGAAUUUCUUAUGGAGUGGAAAUUCCCCAUUUUUGGCUAGCUCUAUUCCUAGACCUAGUCUAAUGAGGUUUUUUAUUAUUUUUUUAAUCUCAUAGUCUUAAUAGAAUACUUACAGGAAACCAUACUGUGGAGAUUAAAAGGAAAAAGAAGUUCAGUUAGUUAAGACAUUGCAUUAAAGACAUGAAUGUAGAAACCUUACCAGAAAGAAGAUGGCUAGUUUCUCCUUAAAACAUGUACCAUUCAAAUAUUAUUCAAAACCUUUGUAUUAUAUUUUCUUUCUACUGAGACUGGACCCUAACAAAAAUACUUUAGAUGCGUUCCUCUCUCUGUCAUUGAGAAUUUCAGAAUGGCAUCAUCAUUCAUGAGAACAGCAAAAUGGAAACCUGUGAGAUCUUGGCUUCUCUCUUUUCAAAACAAAGCAGCAUACAGAGAGUAAGCACUGACUGUGCUCCACUUACUAUAUAUUUGCUUUCUGCUCAUUUUCUCUGGUUAACCAAAUCAGAACUGCUGUCUAAUGAAGAUUUUGGCCAUCUCCCACUGCUCUUUUCUUUUCAGCAAAUGUACACAUUCAAAGCUCUGACCACAAAUUGUACUGAACACUGAGGGCACCAGUCAGUUCCCUAAACGUAGGACCCCAGUGCUAACUGAGAGACCAUCAGAUAGUCCAGGCAUCCCAGGACAGGCAGAUGGGACUGUAGGAGGUGCCUGCACCUUCUGGCAUGGUCGGUCCCUCAGCAUCUCCUCUAGGACUACAUGACUCUUCAGUCAACUGACCCUCGCCAUGUCUCUCCAGGUAGCGUCUGCUGACCUCUAGCUAAAGGAAGCACCGCUUCGGUUAGCUCAGCUCUGUGUCUCUAGGUGACUGGACACUUUAGAGUGAAAAUGAAACAAUCUAAGAUGUAAAAAAUGCUAUUUUAAGUUCAUCUUCAAAAUAAUCUUAGUAUUAGGACUGUGAGCUUUCGAAAGUCUUCACUGAUCAUUAAAUAAGCUGUUACUUGAGAUCCAAGUACAUUGCUAGAAAGUCUUGAACUUACCGUAGCACAUCAACCACAGCAGUGAUCAGUGCCAGUGAAAACUGGUGCAUAUUUUUCACAGAAUAAUUGCAUUGGAGUAUUUAAAUUGUAAGAAGAAAAUUCAGACAACUCCUUGCAUGAUUUGAUUAAUCAACACCUCCUUAGUGAAUAAAGAGUCUCUCAUUACUAUCAAAGGUUGCAUGGAUACAAGAGAUGUGCUGGGGAAUGACAGAAAAUCGACAGGCUACCACAGAAACAAAUUGAUCAAGUCCCCCAUGUAUAAGAUUGCUUUUUAUUUCAGGUGCUGUUCCAUAGUUCCAUGGAAUCAAAGAUGACAGGAUGUCUUCAUCCUCCGUAUAAGCUCUUGAAACAUAGCAAUGUAAUGCCUUUGGUGUUACAUGAUAAAAUGUCCCUGAUGUGGUAGAGCUGCCUGGUCUGGUUUUACCCCUUCAAUGCACAAUGUUUUCUGGUGCAGCUGGAGAAUGGAGAAACAUUUGUUCCUGUAGUUUUUCCCUGAUGAUUUCCACACUACACUACACUUCCUUCUGUUGGCUUAACUUUUAACAAUAAUUUUAUACAUAUUUUAUUUCUAUAUGGUCAGCUGUGCAAUAAAGUAGGUUUCUGUUACUUGUUUUAGGUUGUAAAUGUAUUAAUGAAAAAUGUCAAAAGAAGAAAAUUUGUGGUGGUGGGUUUUUUUUUUUUUCCUUUAGUGAGGCUUAUAAUAGCAUAUUUUCUAAAGCCUAGUAUCUUCUUUCCUCCUUUAAAGAACGGCCAAAAUGCCUCUGUGGCCCUGGCACGCAUUUUGCUGGUGUUUGGAAUGGUAGCACACAGAGACAAAUAAAUAAAUAAAUAAAUAAAUAGUAAUAAAAAAAAUAAUGCUACAUCCAUUUCACUUUGAAACAAAUGAUUACAGAGCAGCUGAUUAUAAUUGGAGAGAAAAUGUAGAAAGGCAAAAUGCUAGUAGUAGCAAUUGGAGUGAAUUAACUGGGGUGCUCAGACAUGCUCUCAAGAAAUGAAUUGACUCGCAGAAGGAGUUUUAGUGGUGUGAAAACUUGCAUUGCGUUUCUUCAGCACACAGAAAAGCAAUCUACCUGAUUUUCCCAAAAGUAGCAAAGCAAUCAGAUAUUUUAGAAGUCUAUUGCCUGCUAAGAGAGAUGGCGAACCAUGGGAAGCAUAGAAACAGCAGGGGAAAACCCAGAAAAUCUUUAACGUGCACCAGUAAAUUUUGUCUUUAAAAUUAAUUUUCCAAAACACUUUGGGAAGAAAAUGUAGCCCUAAUUGUUAGUUAGCUUAAUUGGCAAAGAAAGGGAAAAGUAUUAGAAAAGCCAUUUUGGAUACUGCAGGUGACACAGAUGGUUUCUCUUAGAGUGUUUUUUUCUAAACUUUAACCAACUAUUUCAGCCAUUUAAGACUUUUUGUUAAACAGAAAUUCAAACUCGGGAAAUUCCAACACAUGCACUAAUAAUUUCAAAUCUUUUUUCUCUUCUAUUCAGAACCUGUUGCUUAGAGUCACUUCCAUACUGUCCCUUAUCUUGAGCCCAUAGGUCACCAAGUAAAGUAUGUCUGGUAUUGACCAGGUCUUGAGGUCCUUGGCUGCACAACAGUCAAUAGAGGGAUUCCUGUGGGGAUGUGUGGGAGACUUCCAAACCCGCUAGCAUGAAAGUGCCCAACUUUCAUUUUCAGCCUUGAGGAUAUUAAGCUAAAUUUAUUUUUUUCAGAGUUAUUAUUGAGCUGUCUGACCCGUGCACUGCACAUUUGUUCGAUGUUUUAAUUCUGUAAUUAAGUAGGUUGAGCAAACAGAAUGUGGGUCUGGAAGGUGAAUAACCUGACCUUAAGACCUAAUACUCUGAGCAUAUGUUCAUUUUUUCUUCACUCAUGCAAAUCUAAGUGUACCUUUGUCAUUAGGUGCAAGGAUUUCAGUGUCUUGUCAAAGUAAUGUACCACGGCAGAAUUAAUCUUCUUUAACAUAUUUUAUCCCACGAUCGGGGGAAAAAAAAGGCAGAUUCCCUCCAGAAUAAGCUUAUUGCAUUCACAAAAUAAGUCUCAUUUGCUAAGUAGCUUUUCAUCAAUGCUAUCCAUUCACCAAAAUUAGCAAUGUGACAAAUAACAAGAACAUAAUUUGCUGUAUUGGGACAGUGACAAAACAGAGUACUUACCCGGCAAUUGUCAUUCAGAUCAGACAACAAAAGGGGAGACACACUAAACUAAUCAAGAAACCAUGGCAUCCUGACCUUAUGACCAAGAUCACCAACCUGGAAAAUCAGUUGUUAAACAUUCACAGCAGAUAGUUCUCACAGUUUGAGUGAAAGAUAAUACCAUAUUGAAAUGAGGGCAAAGUCAAUACUGGUUGUGCUUAAAUAAAUGGCAUGGAGACCUCCCAGGGUAGAUAUAAUAUUUCCGUAUAUAUUCACUUAUGAACUGUAACUGAUGGUGCAUUGUAAGACUCUGCAAAGAGGUGGAAUAGUAAGAGAAGGAGGAAUCAGUGUCUGUCCCCAAAAUUUGCUUUCCCAAGAGACAACCGGGAGAACGGAAGGAGUAGUAGGGAGGCUGCUCAAGAGGGAUUUUGCUCUCCAGGAGGUGGUAUAGAGUGAGCUACAGCUAAUAUAAGAAGAGGUACAGUAUCUGCCAUCCUUCAAGGAGCGUUCAAAGAGGCUGGGCUUUAGCAUCAGUAGGAAAGUACCAGCCUCCACCGAGCCCCAGUCUCUGUCCUCAGCGGUUGAAGCUGGCAGCUGCACUUAGUGCUGUGCACCUACGUCAGUGUGGGAAGUCUGACAUCAUUCAUUUAUCACCCUGUGGUGUAACAGGCUGUCAUUAAUGCUUCUUUAGAGUCACUUUACUGCCAUGGGAUAUGGUACCCUGGCCCUCAAGGGAGAAUAACAGCAUGAAAUCUGUGGACAAUGUGCUCCUAAUUAUAAAUCAGUGUUUUCUUCAAUUCUUCUUCUGAAAACCAAAAUUUCUGAUGCAUUUCAAUGUUCAGGGUUUCAUUUCAUGGUUUCUUAAACAAAAAUAGAUUUCAAACCAAGAAUUGCAACUAAGUAAUUUCUGACUUGCCCACCUGGAGGACAUCCCAGUUCCCAUCAGUAAUGCAGUCCUUAUCUGUUUUAUCGACCAAAUCAAGAGAAGCUAGAACACUAGCGCUCCAUUUGCCUUGCUAAGAAACCCACCAGCACUUCAUUUGCCUCAUUUAUUUUGGCUCGUUUCUUCCAUUGAGUCCUUCCACCCUCACUACAUCUUCUGAAGUUUUCCUGCAUCCUCUGCAGUUUUUCCUUUUGCCUCGCGUGCGAUCAGCCUAACCCCCUCUGUGAAACACGGGCUGUACGACGGCCGGGAGAAACCUCCGUGGGCCUCUUAACUCCACAGCUUGUUCAAAACCUCCGGAUUCUUACUUGAAGGGAUUGUUGAAGGUCGCUGGAUGAUUUUUUUAUUUUUUUUUUUACAUGGUACAAAGCAGUAUGUCUUCCCUAUGCCUAUCUGCUCCUGUUCCCCCUGUUGCUACACAGAGGUUAAUAUUUUUUGCUUCUUUAUUUUGAUGAGCAGCACGUUUGUAAACAUUUGGGAGAGGUUGGAAGGAAGUACUCGGAUUAGUGGCGUUCAUCUGGGUCUGGAUCCCAGGAAAUGCUGACUUAGUCAGUUCACUUUGACUCCUGAAAGCUGACAGUAGUCAGCACAUCACAUGAGUAAGCCAUAAACCGUUAUAAUCCCCCAAGUCUUUUGAUAUAAAUGUAGUAGCUACUUACUC